CAGAAUGUUAACGGUGUCAAGUGUCUAGACAUGUCCUAACCCUGGUGCCUACCCUGGUUCCAGAGAAAGAUGAGUGUUCUCUGAAGAAUCAACCCAGUGCUGACUCUUCAGAGCUGCCUGCUCAAGGGAGUGUGAGUGUGCAAGAGGAAGCAAAACCAAGAUUUAAUCCCAUCCUCCAAUGUUAGAGCUGCAUGACUUUCCCUCACUGGUCUCAGUAGCCUCAUUGGAAGUCAAUGAAGAUAAUCAAACCUACCCCAGGAGAAUGAUGGGCUCAAACAUACAACAAAGGCUUUCAUCACCUGAUUUGUGAGAGGACUCCAUGGAGGUUCAGUUCUGUUCUGCCUUUCUUGAUAAAAUAGCUUCAGGCAUUCCUGAAGGAAAACCUCUAUCAAAACAAGAAAAAGAACAAAAGAAAGCCUGGAAAGCGUGGUCCAGAAAUGGCGAGUAUUGGUGAUUAGUAGCAUGUCUUCUGUUAGCCUAGCUGAGUGGCAGACAUCGACAACCCCAGCCUAAAAAGCUGAACCCGGAAGAUAGUGAGAUUGAUUUCAGCCUGAGAUACACAGUGAAAUUCUGUCUCAAAACAAUAAAAAACAAAAGAAGGAAAAAAUGGAGCUUGUUGGUGGUGCUAGCAAUACACAGAUGAUACCAGUGACAUUUAUAGAGUUCUUUGGCCUCCUUAGGAGAAAGAAAUUAAAUAAAAACAAGCAAA